AUUGAACGCUGGCGGCAUGCUUUACACAUGCAAGUCGAACGGUAACAGGUCUUCGGAUGCUGACGAGUGGCGAACGGGUGAGUAAUACAUCGGAACGUGCCUAGUAGUGGGGGAUAACUACUCGAAAGAGUAGCUAAUACCGCAUGAGAUCUACGGAUGAAAGCAGGGGACCUUCGGGCCUUGUGCUACUAGAGCGGCUGAUGGCAGAUUAGGUAGUUGGUGGGGUAAAGGCUUACCAAGCCUGCGAUCUGUAGCUGGUCUGAGAGGACGACCAGCCACACUGGGACUGAGACACGGCCCAGACUCCUACGGGAGGCAGCAGUGGGGAAUUUUGGACAAUGGGCGAAAGCCUGAUCCAGCAAUGCCGCGUGCAGGAUGAAGGCCCUCGGGUUGUAAACUGCUUUUGUACGGAACGAAAAGCCUGGGGCUAAUAUCCUCGGUCAUGACGGUACCUAAGAUAG
rnacentral:rRNA from 1 species